AUCGCUUCUCGGCCUUUUGGCUAGAUCAAGUGUAGUAUCUGUUCUUAUCAGUUUAAUAUCUGAUACGUUCUCGAUGAGAGGACUUUAUAUUAAACGGGUUUUUGGGCUCCGGAGUUGGAUCCGGAGGUUGCUUCCUUCUGCUCGGCGCAUCGUCCAGGUAUUGCAGUGCCUCCGGGAACGGUGCACCCUCA